UUGCGGAGCACUCACUCAGGGUUUGGAGUCGGUAUCUGGAUUAAAAAUCCCAUGCCUCUACUGGGAUCCGAACCCAGUACCUACCAGCCUGUAGACCGAUGGCCUAACCACGACGCCACCAAGGCCUGGUACAGAGGGACAAAAUGGUAUAUGGUUUUGAAACUAAAACAGCUACGAAUUGUAAUAUAUAGUCAACAAAAUUAAUUAAGAGUCUGUAGAUGGUUGUGGUAAUUUGUUUUCACUAUAAACUGUUGUUUAAAUCAUUAAGUUAAAGAACAUGCCAUGCUGACACUUUACAAUAAAAGAAGCUGGGUGUUUUUUGUUUUUUUUAAAUUCAAUGAAGAAUGCUGAAAAUAUUUUCUGGUCCUUAAUUUUGUUAAGUAUAAUUAUACAUAAAGCUAUUCAAAUAUGUGAUGUAAUUUGUAUUGGUUUAAUGCUAUAGGGUUCUGUACAAAUAUGCAAAUAACCGAUGCUAUAAAACGAUAUGCAAUAAAGUGGAUUCGACACUAUAUUGAAAUAUAUAUUUUGCAUAUUAAUAAUUUUGUGGACAAAACACUUUUUCCCUGGAGUAUGUUUAACGUGUUCUGUUGAACCUUUUCAUGAAAGGAUAUUGUGAAUAUUAAAUAUUUUACAGACAGAACAAGGUUUGUAUGAUUGUUUAACGUGUCCUGUUGAACCUUUUCAUUAAAGGAUAUUGUGAAUAUUAAAUAUUUUACAGACAGAACAAGGUUUGUAUGAUUGUUUAACGUGUCCUGUUGAACCUUUUCAUUAAAGGAUAUUGUGAAUAUUAAAUAUUUUACAGACAGAACAAGGUUUGUAUGAUUGUUUAACGUGUCCUGUUGAACCUUUUCAUUAAAGGAUAUUGUGAAUAUUAAAUAUUUUACAGACAGAACAAGAUUUGUGUGAUUUUUUGCCUAUAAUGGUAAUCUAUUAUUAAAAAAACAAAAAAUAAAGUUGAAAAGGUCAGUUUAAGUAUCUAACCAGUGCAUACUUAACAGAACGCAAAUUUAACAGGAAUGCAUGCUUCCGUAAAUCUCAGGUUUUGGGUCAUUAGUGUAAGAUUAUGAGAUAUCCUUAAAAAAAAAUACAAUAAUAAUAAUAAUAAUAAUAAUAAUAAAAAUAAAA